CACGGUGUCACGAAAUGGCUUUAAUAUUCACUAGGCAGGCCAAUUCUGUAAAAAUUGAUUAUUGUUAUAAAUACUCACGAUGAUACGAAUUGCACGUUUUAACGUUGCAUAUACCGUCUGAUAUUUAAGAAUAAUAGUUUCCAUAAGUAUUUUCAUCCCUCGUUAAAAAGCUUUGCUCUUGACUUUUUAAUAAUAUUUUUUGAAAUGGCAUAUCUGAUAUAUAAUCACAGAAAUACAAGCAACAGGUUUCAAUUAUAUUCAUCUCUAUAAAGUUCUUAACCUAAAUCGUUAAUCGCCCGAAAUAGCGUUUUGUUAUAACACCGACAUGAAAAUAAAAAAGUGGUGCUCGAUAAGGUUUUACGGAUAAAUAUUAGUUUCCCGAUCGACAAUAACGAACACGGAUGAAAACUCGCCAAAACGUUUUGGACGGAAAUAAUAUUUUAUGAAUUCCACAAUCGGAAUAAAUUAUCAAUUCGAUAUGAGAAUGUAGUCUCUCUACUUUGAAAGCUUUUGCAUUUUACAAUGAAUAAAAUGCAUUUUCUUUUUGUUUUCGCGUAAUUCAUACAUUUUACAUUUUUAUGAAUUUCAAUAGACAAUUUCCACAAAGGUUUCCGUCCAACAUGCUAUAAGUAUUAGUUAUAUAUCCUUAUAUAAAUAUAACUAACCGCCAGUAACCAUGACUUUUUUG